CAGCCGCCGCGGUAAUACGGAGGUGGCAAGCGUUGUCCGGAAUUAUUGGGCGUAAAGGGCUCGCAGGCGGUUUCUUAAGUCUGAUGUGAAAGCCCCCGGCUCAACCGGGGAGGGUCAUUGGAAACUGGGAAACUUGAGUGCAGAAGAGGAGAGUGGAAUUCCACGUGUAGCGGUGAAAUGCGUAGAGAUGUGGAGGAACACCAGUGGCGAAGGCGACUCUCUGGUCUGUAACUGACGCUGAGGAGCGAAAGCGUGGGGAGCGAACAGGAUUAGAUACCCGCGUAGUCCCUGUCUCUUAUAC
rnacentral:rRNA from 1 species